ACCGGAAUUGCAGUUAACUCCAACUUUUUGGGGUCUAAUUGACUCAAAAUAUAAUUCUGGGGUUUAAUGUAUAAUAAAAUUAUAAACUUAGGAGUGAGUUUAGAAGGUUAUGUUCCUCGUUCAGUAACUGAAAUCUUCUCUGCGCUUUCAACUUCACCGCUACACACACUCUCUUCACUUGUUGGAACAACAGUCGCGCCAAAAUUCAUCAUCAAGGCUUAAGCUUUCUUUAAUGGAAGGAGAUACCCACGAAGGAUCUCUCGAUCUCCAAGCGAUUCGCAGCCGCGUGAAUGAGGUCGAUUUCAUUCACCGGAACUACAGAGACGAACCUGAACAAUCCGAUUCCGAGACUCUGAUCCAAGAUAAUUGCGAGAGAUUUUAUAAAUUUGGGAUUUUUAUGGUCUAAUUAAGUAUCUCGAUAGAUGGCUAAAAAAUUCACAAUUUUUUUUUAUGGGAUUUUGUGUUGACGAAGCUGAAUGAGAUUGUUGAAGAUUGAUUUAUUGGAUGUUGAAGAUUCAGAUGCUUACUUGGAGUACUGAGAAAGGAGCUUCAUUCAGUGGAAGCUGAAAGUGCCAAAGGUCUCCUGCUGAAGCACUAUACAUAGGAGGCAAAACCCGGUGUAACAGUCAGCAAGGACUCUGUCAGUGAAACUGCUUGAAGUCCCUGCCGAAACCUUAAGGGCAUUUUGUGGUGGCUAUCAGCGGAGAACAGCAUGUGAACAUUGUAAGAGACUGGAGCCUGGAGGAAUCAUCCAGACCUUGUGUUGAAGGAGGAAGGAGAAGAAAGGGGUCACACAAAUGCAUAUCGAUCUACUUCAUCCUAUUCCUAAACAGAGGCCCUCUCUUCUUCUGACAUACAUUAGAUAUGGAGAUGAUCGAGAGGUUCUUAUGAUGAAGAGCAGAGGGAAAACGGGAAAGAUAAAGAUCUUUAUCAAAAAAAUCUUUAUCUUUUUUGAUGCAGGUAAGAAAACGGGAAAACGGGGAAGAUAAAGAUUUUUUGAUGCAGGCACAAACUGGUAAAUCCACUUGCAUUAAUUUCUUCAUUUUCCCAAGAAUUUAAUGCAAGUGGAGAAGGACUUUUAUUAAACUCGUGCCUGCAUGAAAUGAGUCUAAAGUUAAUUUACAUCUACUACAUCACUUUGUAUAAAUGAUACUAGUUGAUGUUGUCUAUGUUAGAUCGUCAACCAUAUAUAUCUCUUUUCCCUAAACAAAUGGAAUCAGAUCGAACA